rnacentral:rRNA from 1 species
AUUGAACGCUGGCGGAAUGCUUUACACAUGCAAGUCGAACGGCAGCACGGGGGCAGCCCUGGUGGCGAGUGGCGAACGGGUGAGUAAUACAUCGGAACGUGCCCGGUCGUGGGGGAUAACGUAGCGAAAGUUACGCUAAUACCGCAUACGAUCUGAGGAUGAAAGCGGGGGACCUUCGGGCCUCGCGCGAUCGGAGCGGCCGAUGUCAGAUUAGGUAGUUGGUGGGGUAAAGGCCUACCAAGCCGACGAUCUGUAGCUGGUCUGAGAGGACGACCAGCCACACUGGGACUGAGACACGGCCCAGACUCCUACGGGAGGCAGCAGUGGGGAAUUUUGGACAAUGGGCGCAAGACUGAUCCAGACAGUCCGCGUGCAGGACGAAGGCAUUCGGGUUGUAAACUGCAUUUGUACGGAACGAAAAGGCUCUGGCUAAUACCUGGGGCUCAUGACGGUACCGUAAGAAUAAGCACCGGCUAACUACGUG